UUGGUCUAACGAAAGUAUAGCUCACAGCAACAUCCAACACACUGCCUAACCACAAUAUUUACAAUAUAUACACGAGUUAAACAAGCAUCUGGGGCUAGCUGUUAGCAUUACCAUUCUAACAAGCAGACUAAUACUAAUAUGCAUUUAUAUUGUAAUUAUAAAAAAAUGUUCCGACUGUCUCAGAAGCUGCAAUACAGCAGGUGCCGAAUGUACGAGCUUUCCGUAUGAUUUUAUUAAUGGCAUCUUGUGUCAGUCGUCCGGGGAGCAAGUAUCUGAAGCUGCCAUUGAUGACUAGCUCUUCCCGGAGCUCCAGAAUUGUUGCCGAGGUCAUACGGAUUCCACUCUGCACUGGCUUCCAUCCAGGCUUUUGGAAGAUAAAAAUCGGAACAACAUGGAAGGAACUGGUACCCGGUUGGAAGGGAGAUUGUGGUCCGUGACGAUAUAAUGUGGCAGAAAGAAGAUCCACUAUUCUGCAUGAAAUGCUCCACAUGAUGUUGCCAGGAACUGAUCCAUCGGUGAAGUAGUAAGAGAGAUACAACACAAUAAGAACAAGUUUAUGACCCGAUUAUCACGUCUUAAUCAUGACCUCACAGGCUCACCACAUGUGGAAAUCUGUAAGGGCAACUCCACUUUCUUGUAAAUAAUUAAAAUUUUGUUGUCACUUUUAUGGUGAUAAUUAUAUUUAUAGAAAUUUCCCAAAUGGCUUCAAACAUGUCCGUCAAAUUAGUCACGUGUUAUAUUAUCAUAAAACUUACCGACCACCUGUUUCCAUUUAGUGGAAAGUCCCUUUAGCAAGUAACACAAUGCAUGGCUCGCAGGCCUAUCCUUCUUUGCG